rnacentral:rRNA from 1 species
GGAUGCGAUCAUACCAGCACUAAAGCACCGGAUCCCAUCAGAACUCCGAAGUUAAGCGUGCUUGGGCGAGAGUAGUACUAGGAUGUGUGACCUCCUGGGAAGUCCUCGUGUUGCAUUCC